rnacentral:rRNA from 1 species
GACGGAGGGUGCAAGCGUUGUUCGGAAUUACUGGGCGUAAAGGGCGCGUAGGCGGGUUGUUAAGUUAGAGGUGAAAGCCCAGGGCUCAACCCUGGAACUGCCUUUAAUACUGGCAUCCUAGAGUAUGACAGAGGUGUGUGGAACUCCGAGUGUAGAGGUGAAAUUCGUAGAUAUUCGGAAGAACACCAGUGGCGAAGGCGACACACUGGGUCAUUACUGACGCUGAGGCGCGAAAGCGUGGGGAGCAAACAGG